AACGAACGCUGGCGGCAUGCCUAACACAUGCAAGUCGAACGAGACCUUCGGGUCUAGUGGCGCACGGGUGCGUAACGCGUGGGAACCUGCCUUUAGGUUCGGAAUAACUCAGAGAAAUUUGAGCUAAUACCGGAUAAUGUCUUCGGACCAAAGAUUUAUCGCCUUUAGAUGGGCCCGCGUUGGAUUAGCUAGUUGGUGGGGUAAGGCCUACCAAGGCGACGAUCCAUAGCUGGUCUGAGAGGAUGAUCAGCCACACUGGGAC
rnacentral:rRNA from 1 species